rnacentral:rRNA from 1 species
AGGCUUAACACAUGCAAGUCGAGGGGCAGCAUGGUCUUAGCUUGCUAAGGCCGAUGGCGACCGGCGCACGGGUGAGUAACACGUAUCCAACCUGCCGUCUACUCUUGGACAGCCUUCUGCAAGGAAGAUUAAUACAAGAUGGCAUCAUGAGUCCGCAUGUUCACAUGAUUAAAGGUAUUCCGGUAGACGAUGGGGAUGCGUUCCAUUAGAUAGUAGGCGGGGUAACGGCCCACCUAGUCUUCGAUGGAUAGGGGUUCUGAGAGGAAGGUCCCCCACAUUGGAACUGAGACACGGUCCAAACUCCUACGGGAGGCAGCAGUGAGGAAUAUUGGUCAAUGGGCGAGAGCCUGAACCAGCCAAGUAGCGUGAAGGAUGACUGCCCUAUGGGUUGUAAACUUCUUUUAUAAAGGAAUAAAGUCGGGUAUGGAUACCCGUUUGCAUGUACUUUAUGAAUAAGGAUCGGCUAACUCCGUGCCAGCAGCCGCGGUAAUACGGAGGAUCCGAGCGUUAUCCGGAUUUAUUGGGUUUAAAGGGAGCGUAGAUGGAUGUUUAAGUCAGUUGUGAAAGUUUGCGGCUCAACCGUAAAAUUGCAGUUGAUACUGGAUACCUUGAGUGCAGUUGAGGCAGGCGGAAUUCGUGGUGUAGCGGUGAAAUGCUUAGAUAUCACGAAGAACUCCGAUUGCGAAGGCAGCCUGCUAAGCUGCAACUGACAUUGAGGCUCGAAAGUGUGGGUAUCAAACAGGAUUAGAUACCCUGGUAGUCCACACGGUAAACGAUGAAUACUCGCUGUUUGCGAUAUACUGCAAGCGGCCAAGCGAAAGCGUUAAGUAUUCCACCUGGGGAGUACGCCGGCAACGGUGAAACUCAAAGGAAUUGACGGGGGCCCGCACAAGCGGAGGAACAUGUGGUUUAAUUCGAUGAUACGCGAGGAACCUUACCCGGGCUUAAAUUGCAGAUGAAUUACGGUGAAAGCCGUAAGCCGCAAGGCAUCUGUGAAGGUGCUGCAUGGUUGUCGUCAGCUCGUGCCGUGAGGUGUCGGCUUAAGUGCCAUAACGAGCGCAACCCUUGUUGUCAGUUACUAACAGGUUCCGCUGAGGACUCUGACAAGACUGCCAUCGUAAGAUGUGAGGAAGGUGGGGAUGACGUCAAAUCAGCACGGCCCUUACGUCCGGGGCUACACACGUGUUACAAUGGGGGGUACAGGGGGCCGCUACCACGCGAGUGGAUGCCAAUCCCCAAAACCUCUCUCAGUUCGGACUGGAGUCUGCAACCCGACUCCACGAAGCUGGAUUCGCUAGUAAUCGCGCAUCAGCCACGGCGCGGUGAAUACGUUCCCGGGCCUUGUACACACCGCCCGUCAAGCCAUGGGAGCCGGGGGUACCUGAAGUGCGUAACCGCGAGGAGCGCCCUAGGGUAAAACUGGUGACUGGGGCUAAGUCAUAACA